UUCAUAAGUGCUGGAAUGGGUGUGAAGUAGGGAGUCAAUGAAUUCCUCUGACAGGCUAUUAAUUUUAAUUUUAUGCAGACAUUCAUUUGCUUCUACAGGGUGUUGGUUCAGGUACAAAAAAACCUUUCUCAGUGUGAGAAAAUAUCGAUACAGAUGAAGAUCUGAAACCAUUACAUGUGAAAAAUAGACCAUAAUAGAGGAAAUCAGGAAAGGGGCAAAUGGAACAUCCAGGAGAAAACGGCUGUAAUCCAGAGUUCUUGCAGAAGAUGAACCUGGCAAAUUACUGUAUGACGGGCGACAUGGAGAUAAAGAUGAAAGAGGUGAAACAGAAGCUUGAGGAACAUAAUGAGAGGAUUGCCCAGCUGGAAAAGAGCCUGCACCAAAGGAUAGAGAUUGCAAAUGAAAUGUCCAGAGAUCAAAAUAUUGUACGCAACAACGUAGCAAACCAGGGAAGCUGGUGUGUUGUUAUGUAACUAUAGUACAUUUACAACAGUAGGUGCUAUUCUCCUGUGGGAACUUUAUAAUAUUAAAAUGAAAUAAAUCACAUAUAUUCACCAAA